CUCUGUUUCUCAACUCAACCUAACCAACCUUGCUGGAUCAGCAUUAGCUGCAGAAGUUGGGGAUAUAUCCAACCUAUCCCAGGGUAUCAACAGCCCACCCUUCCAGUCCACCUACAUGAUGUCACCCAGCGCACCCUGACUGGUUGUGGCAUGGCCUUUUGGGUAAAAGAGAAGAAAAAAACCUUCUGCCUUGGUAUCAGCAAUAGCUAUCUAUAUAUGCUCCCACGAUAACUGCAAUCCCAUCCGAGCCCUUGUUUUCUCUCUUUUUGACAUUCCCAAGUGACCUUCCCUGUCUGUCUAAAAAGUGAUUCCCUAAUAGCAAUGUCAGUGGGAAAUCUGGACAACUCAGUGUCAGGUAACCUUCACUGUCAGAACUGACGGAGAAAACCAGGAUCUAGAAAUUUCUCCAGGUAUUACGAUUCAGCCCAAAGUCUGGGAACUAGGAAGUUCAAGCAGAACUGAGAUGCUAUACCUAUCCGGUCUCACGAAUUCCGC
rnacentral:sRNA from 1 species